UCCAAUGUGGUGUAGUGGCUAACAUUGCUGUCUUUCAUGAACCCUUUUAACUUAAGUCCUAGUUAGUGUAUUCACAGCAGCCCGGGGUUCGUUUCCCCGCAUUGGAA